CACAGGAGGGGUGGAGCUUCUAUUUAUAGGCCAAAGAUGUCACACUGACAUGUGGACCAAAAGCAAACCCUAGCUACCACCAUGUCCGCCAGGUACGCCCAUGGCCCCCUUCGGAUUGUCCGGGAGGGGACAAUACUGCUUUGUGCUUUACGUACAGCCAGGCGGCGCGCACUGUAGCCAUGCUCCGGCCUUCGUCACCUGUCCUUCUACGGCGCGUCACUGUGCAGUCGCCCGGCACAGCGACAUGAGCAACGAUUGCUUUUCCUCAUAAAGGGAGUGCUGCUUUACUUUGCGCCAUGUGAUCAGGAUAGGACCGUUGGCGUAUCCCAGCCCAAGCCGAGAUCAGAGAGUUCAUGCUUAUUCCUGCAAUCACAUAAGACAAGAUAGAUAUGCCGACACACUUUUGGUAUGCCGGCCGGUUACAAAGUCGGCCUGACAAUGCCGGCGUACUUGAUCACGUCGGCUUUGCUCUCGCUAUUCCGGAUAAUACAUAUCGUCAUGACCCUACCCGGGGUCAUCCCCCCGACACUAGUCGCGGAAGCUGUUGCGGUCCGACAGGAAGUGUUGUCGGGCAACGACAGUUUCCCAAAUCUUAAAUAACUCAGCGGCUAGGAGGGUUUGACCAGGUCAAAUGCCGACACAAUCCCGAGCUUUCUUAGCCGAGAUUUAGCACUGCCGGCAUUUUUAGUCGGCGCGGUAUUUUCAGCUUCGAGCCGAGAUUCCCCUCUUAAUUCCGCCAGCAAUAGAGAGCCUUUUUCUGCCGAUAUCUAUGCCAGAUGUCACACCUAUUCUGCGCCUCACUUUAACAGCUGGAAGAUAAGGCUAAAGACACUGUUGGCACGUCUUUUGAGGCGAAUAUGUCGUCCCAUCGGACAGGAAAACCGGCAGGCCAUUAAGAGGGGGGUUUCGGUUUCCACCCGCUGCCUUAUCUCCUCCCGAUUUGGUGGGAUUUACUGUGCCACGUUGCGCAGUAACCACUCGUGCGCCAUUUAUGGGGGUAAUCGUCCCCAUGAUUACGACACUAUUUUACCGUUGGCCUCGGGGAUCGUCGGUGCGGAAGAUCCGCGGCCCAUGAUUGCGCCCCGGCUAUAAAUAAGGGGACGGGGUGAAAGCAUUUUUAUUCCCCCGAAACCCUAGCUUCUUCGCUUCUCUCACGCUCCCUCCCCUGCUGGACGCUCGGAGCCUCUUCGCCGCCGCGCUAGCUCGCCUCCGAUAACCAACCUCACUGCCGUAUCCUCGCGCACCCUCGCCUGCACUUCCGUCGCUCUCUCCUUGCUUGCUCGCGCCUCGCGCCGUCGUUUCUCCGUCUAGAAUUCCCAGAUCUGUUUCUGCGCCAUGGCAUCUUCUUCCUGUGACGCCGCCGCCGUCGAUCCCGCCGCUCAGCAGAUUGAAGAGGACACCGGCUCAGAGCGCGCCGGAUGUGAGGGCUCCGACGUAUCCCCGGCGGACAUCGACUGGCUCCGCCGCACCCGGCGGAUCCCGAAAGAAGGGGAGUGCCGGAUUCUCGGCGACGAGGUCGUGCUGACACCUGGGCCCGGUGAGUUUGUUGUCUUCGUUUCACAUUUUGAACGCGGCUUCGGGCUCCAGGUUAGCGAUUUUGUCCGGGAUUUCCUUGACCAUUUUGGUCUCCAACCUCACCAUCUUCCCGCCAACGCCAUUCUUACACUUUCUGCCUUUGUCACUUGCUGUGAGAGCUAUCUCGGCCUUUGGCCAUCCGUUGACCUGUGGGCCAAAUAUUUCAUGUUCCGGCCCCAGGUUCUUUCCGACAAAGAAAAUCCCGGUGCCCCUAAGCUCAUGACCCAAUGCGGCGCCGCCACCGUCAUACCUCGCCGAUGUUCUGCCUUUCCUCGGAUCCAAGGUCUUGAGUCCUGCAAGAAGUGGCUCAAGGCCUUUUUCUAUGUCAAAAACGCCUCCUACACCGACAAGAUCAAUUUGUCGGGAUUCAUAGUCGGCCUGCCGGAGGAGAAGAAAAAAUGGAUACAUGAUCCCAAGGACUCUCUCCCGGAGAUAAAUGAGGUCCAUGCCGGCAUCAUCGCGUUGAAGGAGAACGGGAUGACGGCUGACGAUUUGCUGGCCACGUUCGUGUUCCGGCGAGUUUGCCCGCUCCAACGCCGGACACACAAGAUGUGUUUCCACAGCAGCCAGCUUGACCCGAACCGAGUUUCAACCAUUAUGUUGGACAAACUCGAGGUUCGACGCCGAGUCAAGGCGAUCGCGAAGACUAACCUAGCCGAGAACUGGAGCUGGGGCAUGGUGCCAUACAGCCGGAAGAAUCGUGCGCCCUUGGUAGCUUUUUUGUCUACUUGGUUUUUCGAUUUUCUUCCGACAUAAUUACAUGCCGGCCUCUAAUCGAUAAAAUUUACACCCCAACACAAUGAAGACGGGCACUCGCCGGACAAGCGCUUCAUCCCCGACCAUCUGGGAGCCGACUCGGAAGACCCGGAUUCUGAGCAUCACAUGCCGAUUCCUCAUGCCGGCCCCAGGCGUGCUAUAUGACUUCAUCUCGUUGAUAUCAGAGCUCUUAUCUUCGAAAUACUUACGCCUGUUUUGGUCCGAGAACAGCUGACUUGGACGAUCCGAGCCUUGCCGUGGCCCCUGCUGCUGCUCUGGUGUCGGCCGACGAAAAGCACAUCGCCGACAUAGAGCUUCCAAGGACUAUGAAGCGGAAGAAAACCGCUGGCCGGAAGCCGAAGCCGAAACCAAUGGUCAUCGGGUAAGCCUCAUGCCAUUUCAAUUUUGAAUGUCGGUUCCUCUUCUUGACUGAUAUGAAAAUGACAACAUUCCGUUCCUGUAGGGAGGCUCUGACUGCCACUCGGUCCCAGACUUGCAUCGCCUCCGAGAUCCCUGCCACCUCGUCUCCACGUGCAGAGGCUUCUGCUCAAGCGACGGGAGAAACUGAGACUGUCACAGACUCGGCAUCCCCCGUUCAGGAUGUCGGCCCCGACAUCGACGCUUCGAGCGUCGCCCAAGCCGGGACAUCUGCGGCUGGGACUGCUCCUUCGUCGGCAGCUCCUGAUGCGCAGCCGCAACCAUUGGCAGCGGAUCGUCCUCGUCAGCCGGUGGCGCAGCCUCAACAAGCUCAAGCAACAGCAUUGCCGCUGCUGCCGUAGCUGCCGCAACCGCAACCGACAUCGCUAGCGGCCGCCUGGGCGAAGAAGACUAGGAGCUCUGCCAUCCCGCCGGGACAGCAGCCUCCGAGUUCAUCCGGCUCGCCGUCAAUCCGGGGUACUCAAGGAGUUCCUCUUAGGACAACAAGCGGGCAUAGCUGGGGAUCCCUCGGCCAAUACGCCAUGGAUUGGAACAGCGCCGACAGUUAUGAGGUUAACUCCGGAACAAUCCAGACAGCGCAGCAAAAUGCUCCGGUGGGACCAUCUCCCGUGGCGGCGACCCUGGAGUCGGUGGUGGCCCGGAUGUUCCAGGCAAGAGUUGCGCUGUUCGAAUCAAAGCGAGCUGCCGAGGUACGAAAAUCCCUUGAAGUUUUUUAUUCUAUCUUUAGUAUAUAUACUCCUAGUCCCCGAGGUUUAGGGCGAGUAAGAAAUAGUGGGCCUGAAGCUUACCUUGAAAAACUUCAAACACUAUUCCCCGAGAUUCAGACCGAGUUUAGAAUAGUCGGCCUGAAGCUUAAAAACUUCAAACACUAUUCCCCGAGAUUCAGGCCGGGUUUAGAAUAGUCGGCCUGAAGCUUUUCUUGAAAAACUUCAAGAAUUAUUCCCCGAGAUUCAGGCCGGGUUUAGAAUAGUCGGCCUGAAGCUUUCCUUGAAAAACUUCAAGCACUAUUCCCCAAGAUUCAGGUCGUUUACAAUAGUCGGCCUGAAGCUUAAAAAACUUCAAACACUAUUCCCCGAGAUUCAGGUCGGGUUUAGAAUAGUGGGCCUGAAGCUUAUAAAACUUCAAACACUAUUCCCCGAGAUUCAGAUCGGGUUUAGAAUAGUCGGCCUGAAGCUUAAAAACUUCAAACACUAUUCCCCGAGAACCAGGUCGGGUUUAGAAUAGUCGGCUUGAAGCUUAAAAACUUCAAACACUAUUCCCUGAGAUUCAGGUCGAGUUUAGAAUAGUCGGCCUGAAGCUUAUAGUUGUUGAUUUGCCACUGCUAUAAGACCCUAGGCAGCUUGCCCUUGCUGUGCUGGCUUGCAUGCACGGUACGUAGCGCUGCAACUAGGGCGGUACGUGCCCUAGAUUCACUGCGGGACAAUACUGUGGACUGACUGGACGGGGAAUCAUCUUUCUGUCGGAACAUUAAAUGCUUGCUUGUGCCACACUCCUCGCCCUGACCAACCCUGCACACAGGGAGCCUGUCGGGCGGCCACGUGGCGUCAAUGCUCUGCCUGCUGGGUACCGUCCCUGUUGUAAGUGCCUGCGCCUGGGAACGCCCUUGCCGGCAAGUGACCUUCCCGGGGGGCGCCCAGGAAGGAAUUCUCUCGUCGCCUUCUAGGGUAACCCCCGCAGCCCGGCUAGCCCUGCCGGGCUGGUGAUUUGCCGGGCAGCUUGUGCGGUGCUGCCCAGGGUGCUUUCCUUGCGGGGAGCAGGUGAGGCGACCCACGCGUCAAGCAGCGGUGGUACCCCGGGUGCCACUGGUGCGACAGUAUCCCCGGGGCGUGGGCCGGCAACGCCUGUUCCCGAGCAAAAUCACCCGUGGUCGGUUGCCGGGCUACGUCCUUAUCCGACGCGUGGGUCCCGAAUCGUUUCAGAUUCCCGUUUAUGCAUUACUCCAAGGACUCCGCCGUUACGGGCAGAGUGGUGGGGGCGAGAUUUCCGCCCUAACCUCGCCUUAAUCGCGGGUGGUUAAGGCCACGUCCCGCAUUCCCCCUCUUUAAGCAUAGUUAUCCCCAGCACGCCCGUAGGGUGCGGAUGCGACCGUUGCUCAGCGCCGGGGUACUAUAAAACCCCACCGCUGUGCUGAGGAGCAAACACUUAGCCCCCAACCCUUCUUCCUCAUCCCCAUUAAUUAUAACUUGCGCCCCUGAAUCCUGCUAGUCUCCGCCCACAUUGCCCAUGGCACCCACAGCCCCCAAGAGAGGGAAAGGCUCCAAGAGUUCUGCGACCGACAAAGGUGAGAAGGCUCCCAAGAAGCCUCUCUCAGAGAAGGACCAAAAGAAGAGGGAGUUGAGGGCCACGCGGGCCUUCUUCAAGCCCGGCUACAAUGGCAAGGGGCUCAACAAGAUCCGGCAUGCCGGCGCUUCCCCGUUCAACGAGUACGGCAAGACGCUCGUCUUCCCUGUCAGCGGCGACCACCAGGACAACGGCUUCUGGGUGUUCGCCCGUUUCAUCCUUGCCGGGCUGGUACCUCCGUACUCCCUCUUUCUCCACGCGCUCAUGGCGGCGUACCAGCUCCGGGUUGCGCAGCUCCACCCCACCUCUCUCUUCCUUCUCGCCGUCUUCCAGUUCCUCUGCGAAGGGUUUGUCGGUGGCAUUAUUUCGGCACUACUUCUACCCGUGCGUCGAGCAAUCAGGCGCGAUGUCGUUGGUGGUGGUGUUCCGAGUCCUCCGGCGACGAGGCUGGCCGCAUUGCCGGGGCCCAGACAGCCCCCCCUGCAGCGGAGGAGGAGGGACGACGCACCUUUGGUGUGGAGAUCAAGGGCGCCAGCGGCUGCAGCCACCUCUGUAGCAGCCGCACGCGCCUUGGCGGCCUCCGCGGCAACCGGGGCUGCGGCAACUCCUCAAGGAUCCGCGGCCCCGCCCAAGCGGGGAAUCUUCUGGGGCUACUCGCUCAAGCUCAACCCCCCGAAGUAAGUUGACGCUCCCCCUCCCUUCUACCUACAAGUUUUGCGCUUGCCUUCAUUCCUUCACUUCCUUGUUGAUGCCUCGCAGGGAUAGCACUCCGGCUGGAGCCGGCAAGAGGGGUAGGACGGACACUGCACCCGCCGCGCCAAUCAAGAAGCCACGCACCCGGGCCAGUGCCAGUCAGACCAGCACGGGGGCCAGCGGCGCCGCCACCACGCUUGCCGCCGACCUGAUCCUAGUGGAGGAGUAGCCCGCAACAGGUACAGGCCCCUCCCCUAAUUCCAUUGCACAUGCUCCUUGAAAGGGCAUUUCUCUCCUAAGUGGUUUUGGUGGUGAUGACAACAUGUUGUGUAUCUAAUCGUGUGUCAAGUAUUUCAGAUUUCAUAAAGAAAUUGGCACAAGAUGUUGAUGUGGACCCUCAAGAUGCUAUGAAGCGCAGCGGUGUUAGCGGCUUUUUCGUUUUGAUUUGAGUCGUAGGACAUCCGUACUACUAAGAGGAAAUCCACAAGGGAAGGUAAUGGGUGAAUCAAUUUCGCGUACACAACUACACAAUUUGCACCCACUAAAAAGCCUACCCCAAAAAGUGAGAGAGAAGAACUAAACUCAGCAUGUUGUGUUCUGCCUGCAGUCCAGGUGGCGGAAGUUCCCUCCGGUCGCUCUCUGUUAGGAUCGGCAGAAAAUGCGGAACUUUCGGUAAUAUGCUGAACUUCCGUUUGACCGGAGGUUCCGGCUAUGACCGGAAGUUUUGGCCUGUCUCUACGCAGUGCAUAACGGCUCGAUUUUAGGGACCCCAUAUAUAUACCCCUUCGUCCCCAACGAGCUAGCUGACCGUUUUCACAGCCAAGAACAGUCCCUCUCACCCCAAGAACACAAAAAGCUCAAAUCUCCAAGAUCUCCCUCCCUAGCUACUCCCAACUCUUGAUUUUUUGAGGAUUGGAAGAGAAGAUCUUGCUUUAGGGUUUCACCAAGUCAAAAAGUUGAUUUCUCUUGUUUUCUUUGUGGAUUUCGUUUCUUUUGGGAUGUUGGGAACCCUAGACGGAAGCGGUCACCUCAAGCUCUCCCUUGGUGUAUGAGGAGCUUGAGGCUUGGAUUGGAAGCCUCCUAUUGAAUUGUGGAGUUUGUCCCGGUCAAGUUUGUAAGGGUUCGGCGUUCGCCCUCAAGGAAGCCAUUAGUGGAACACACCUCACCUUUGUGGUGUUGUGAGAGCUCAUCCCACCUUUGUGGUGUGAUGAGUUGGAGAAUAGAGUGAGCCUUCGUGGCAUCUAUACCAUUGUGGUAGAGCACUCCUCCAAACGGAGAAAUACACCGAUCCCAAUAGGUGGAACUCCGGUGAAAUCUUCGUAUCCACGUGUGGUAUAAUUUCCCCUUUACAUUCUUGCUAUAUAGUGUUUCUUCGGCUAUUGCAUUUCAUUCUAGGGUUGCAUUCACUUUAAAGAAUUUAGAAAACACUAGGACUAAGUGUUUGUAUCUCUCAAGAAAAGAAAAAGAAAAGCCAUAAUUUGUUAGUCUCCUAUUCACCCCCCCUCUAGUCGACCAUACCGAUAUUUCACUCCUUCUGCAUAUUGGCCCAUAACCGUGCCAUUACCUUGUUUCGCAGGCGAAAUCCAGCCCGCAGCGGACAGCCCGGCAGCAGGAGCUGGGACAGAGCGGGACAAGGCUCCCCUCACAAGCACGGCAGCCCUACAAGGUACCCGUCCGGAGCUUCCUUGCGUUCGUCGCCGGGUACCCCGGCUUAGCUUGAAGUACCCAUUUUGCUCUUUGUCGCAGGCCCUAUUGCGCCCACAACAAGGGCGGACGCAACGGUGAUCGACCUCACUUCUGACGUUGAGGACGCAGGGUUGAGGGAGAAGCCGGAGGCGGCUCCUGCGCCAAGCUCCGCCGCGCCGGACACAAUGGCGACGGCGCCCGCCGUCGCUACCAGGGCGGAGCUCCGCGGCGCGUCCCCGGCCUUGCAGGCCGGAGGCGCGGGUCCCGUAGCCGCCCAGCAGGAGACGACUCCUGCCGGGGGCGCGGACCUCCCGCAAGACCCGCAACCCACGGGCGCGGGUGCGGGGGAAGAAGUGUCAGGGGUGCAGUAGGUGGUUCCCCUGCAAACGGACGAUGCUCCCCCUGGCCAGACCAUGGUGGCGGGGGCCUCGUCAUCGUCCGCCGCCACCUCCAGCCCAGACCUCGGCAUACUUGCCGGGGCAACUUGGGACCCAAUCACCUGGGACCCAAGCAUCUACGACCAGGGGCACCAAUUCCUCGACGCCACUAAGGAGCAACAGCUAGCGUUCGUCACUUUGUUCAACAAGGUGAGGUAGCACCACGAGCUCGCGAAGAGCCAACUCGGUGAAGUGCGGCGAGACAUCGAGAGGGAGCGGCAGGAGCUCUCCCGGCUACGGGAGGAGACGUGCCUGGCUCGGUAGGCCAGGGAUGAGGCCGCAACGCUGGUCGACCCCGAGGCAGAGCUCCAACGGCAACUGAAGGCCCAACGCGCCGAGCACCAGCAAGCACUGGACUCGCUGGCCACGGUGCGGGAGAAGACCAACAAGGAGCACGAGGAGGUGCUUGCAACAGCUCAAGCUCACCUCAACGAGAAGAGCGAGUAGGUCAGCAGCUACUCCUCCCAACUCCAGGAUCUGCGCACAAAUCUGGAGGAGCAGGCCAAGGCCGCGGAGGACGCGGCAGCGGCAUCGGCGCGGCAGGGGAAGGAGCUCAAUUCUGCCAAGGAAAAGAGUGCCCAUCUCGAGUCCAAAUUGUCCACCGCCCGGGGUGAGCUCGUCAAGGCGGGCGAGGACAACAUGAGCAAGGCCAAGGAGAUCGGGCGGCUCGCGGAACUCCUCCGCAAGGCCAAACACGCGGUGGCGCUAGUGCGCGGCAACAACAACAAGGGUGCGGAGCAGCAGCGGAGGGAGACCGAGAAGCUGUACGAGAUCGCCCAAGCCGUGCGCGAGCUGCUACCGAGGUUUGAGCUGCAAGCCGCGAAAGAGGACGGCACGGACGUCGCACCCUGAUCCCAUUCUUCUCCGACAUGGUGGGGAAGCUCGGGGCGCUGGACGUGUGGAUCUCCAAGUUCUGCGAUGGGGAGAUAGCAUCGUGCGCCAAGGAGAUCGCCGAGACGAUCCUCCCUCGGGUGCACUACAACCACCCCAACUUCCCCUUCGAGACACUGCUGGACGCGUGGUCGGACAGCAAGGACGGUCCCACCCACUCUAGGGCAGUAAGCCGGUUCAUCGACGAAGUGGUGGAUCGGAUGCAGAGGAAGCCGGAGCCAGAGCCCCCAGCGGAAGCCCCCGGCAACCAGCCGUCUUAGUCCCCUGAAGGUUUUUAUUUUCCUUUUGUUUCCUGCAAGUGGCGCGCUUAGCGCCGUUGAACAAUUAUCGUUUAGCAAUUUCGCUUUCUGGUUCUAUCGAGUACUUGUCCCUGAAAUUGACUCGCGGGGUGGAUCUUCUUGUCCUCGCUUUGUGUUGCCGGGGACUCGUGAGCUACCCACUUAACUAGACUAGGGACCCGGGACGGACCCGCAGUGCCAACCUAGGGCCAACUAGCAGCAGCGACCCACUCCGCUUGCGGGUUAGCUACCCCCAAGCACGCGCCCACGGGGCGGACCUGCAAGCCGCAUGAGGAGCGUACUCCCCCGCAAGCGUCCUUCUAACACUCCAGCCGCACGCAAGACCUGACCCACACCAACAAGCCAGCAUUGAGUACUAGAAAGCUAGGCGCCUAAGAUAAUGCACUUAGCUGUCUGCUCUCGUGUCGAACGUGUCAGUUCUGCACUUGGGACACCUGCUGGAGGGAUGCGGCAUGGGCACAGUGGCAGUGCACCCAUCGGCACUGAGCACUGAUGGCAUGCACCACCACCGUGUCCCUGCAGCCUCCCUCGCCUUUGUAGCCAUCUUCUUAUCUUUGCUCUGAGUUGCUCCGUGGCCACCAUGCCCUUUUAUAGGCAUGGUGAAGGAUCCUGCCGCCGCGCGCGCCGAGCUACCGCGAGACACGUGGUGACACCCUCCUGCGGUAAGAACCUUGAAGCGGUCGCCAUGCACCAGUGGCUUCCCGCUAGACGACACGGCACGUGAAUACUCCACGAGUAUCACAGUGUGUUUGAUCCCCAUCCUUAUCUGCAUGUGAGAUUCUUACCAACCCAAGAUGCUACAAUUUUUUUUUCGAAAUCCCCGCGAACAACCAGGCGCUUGAUAUCAAGGGCGAUCGCCGCCCACAACCCGGCGAGCAACCCUUCGUACUCAGCCGUGUUGUUGGUGGAGUUGGGGAAGUCGAGUUGGAUGGCGAACUUCAGCUGGUCUUCCGUGGGUGACUCGAUGACGACUCCGGCGCCAGCUCCCUGCAGGCUGAAAGCGCCGUCGAAGUACAUGAUCCAGUGGCCUUCGUCCAGCUUGUCAGGCAGGUCGGUCUCCGGCUCGUCUUCUUCUAUGCCCGUCGAGGUCCACUCUGCAACGAGAGCAGCACUCUUGAUACUCUUGGUGUUCGUGAAGUGAAGAUCGAACUCCAACAACUCCAUCCUCCACUCGGCCACCCUUCCGGUGGCUUCACGGUUGGUGAGAGCCCGCUCGAGGCAGAAUCCUGACACCACCGUGACGCGGUGCGCCUAGAAGUAGUGGCGCAGCUUGCGGGACGCAAGCAGAAUCCCCAGCAAGAGCUUUUGCACUUGCGGGUACCGCGUGCGGGCGUCACGCAACACCGUGCUGAUGAAGUACACCGGGUGCUGCACAAGCCGCUUGCGCGGUGCCGUUGCCGCCGGCUCGUUGGCGGUUCCCGGGUCCGAGGCGGUUGCCGGGGCUGAUUCAGCCCCAUGCGCCGCAAUCUCAUCCACCGAGAGAUCUUCUUCUCUCUCGGCAACAAGUACUGAGCUGACCACUUGGUAAGUCGCCGCUAGAUUGAGCAGCAGCGGCUCGCCCGGCUUGGGGGCGAUGAGGAUUGGUGGCGACUUCAGGUACUGCUUAAGGUCCUGGAACGCCGCCUCAGCCUCGGGGGUCCAAUCAAUUAGGCCCUUCUUCUUCAUUACCCUGAAGAAAGGCAAGGCGCGUUCGCCCAGCCUUGAGAUGAAUCGACCCAGCGUGGCUACACAGCCGUUGAGGCGCUGGACAUCCUUCAUCCUGCGGGGAGCCUCCAUCUUCUCGAUAGCUUCUAGCUUCUUUGGGUUGGCCUGAAUCCCCCUGUGCGAAACCAAGAAGCCCAGAAGUUGCCCCGAGUUUACACCAAAAAUGCAUUUCUCAGGGUUCAACUUGAGCUUGAUCUUGCGGAGAUUAUCAAAUGUCUCCCGCAAGUCAUCAAUAAGCGAGUCCUCGUGCUUUGACUUGAUGACGAUAUCAUCCAUGUAGCCUCAACGUUUCGGCCUAGUUGGGGUCCCAAACACUCGCGCAACGCACGCUGGAAUGUUGAGCCCGCGUUCUUCAACUCGAAACGCAUGCACGUGUAACAGUAGCAACCAACCAGGGUGAUGAACGCCGUUUUUUCCUUGUCCUUGACUGCCAUCUUGAUCUGAUGGUAGCCGGAAAAAGCAUUCAAAAAACACAACAAAUCGCAACCGGCAGUGGAAUCUACUAUUUGAUCGAUGCGAGGUACAGGGAAAGAGUCUUUUGGACAUGCACGAUUAAGAUCUGUAAAGUCCACACACAUGCGUAAUUUAUUCUCCCCCUUGGGUACUACAACUGGAUUCGCUAACCAAGUGGGGUACAAUACUUCCCUGAUAGCUCCCGCAGCCUUCAGCUUGUCCACUUCUUGCUUGAUGAAGUCUUUGCGCUCCUGUGCUUGCCGGCAGAUCUUCUGCUUGAUGGGGUAGGCGUCUGGACACACCGCAAGUCGAUGCUCGAUCAUCUCCCUAGGACACCGAGAAGAUCCGAUGGUUCCCAAGCGAACACGUCGUCAUUCUCCCGGAGGAAAGUGAUGAGGGCGCUUUCCUAUUUGGCAUUGAGGUUUGCACCGAUGGUGACGGUGCGCUCCUCGUUGUCGGCCUAGAGGGUCAGCUUCUUCACCUUGGCGUCCUCCUCCUUGAGCUUCUGGCCCUUGCCGGAAGUGAGCUCGAGCUUGUGCCUCCCCCGACAAGUUCCUGCGGGGCGACACGAGCCUUCUUCGCUGCGGGGCCGUUGCCCGGCAGCGAGUCUUCACUUCCGACGACGCCUUCGUCACCAGAAUCAGCUGCGGCAGCGGCCUUGACGACCUCGCCAACACACCAAGCCGCGUCCUUGAGGUCGCACUUGAUGGAGAGAACUCCGUACGUGGACGGCAUCUUCGUCACGCCGCAGGUGCAAUGAGUUGCCGCCAUGAACUUGAUCAGCGCCGGCCGACCAAGAAUCCCGUUGUACGGCAACGGGGUAUGAGCCACGUCGAACACGAGGUGCUCGGUCCGAAAUGCUUCCCGGGACCCGAAGGUAACCGGCAGCGUGAUGCGCCCCAGGGGGCGCACGAUCCCGGGGUUCACUCCCCGGAACGAGUCGGUGGGCUUCAUCUGCUCUAGCGGCAGCUGAAGCGUCUCCACCAGCCUGGUGGAUAGGAGGUUCAACCCUGCUCCGUUGUCCACCAGCACCUUGGUCACCGUCAUGUUGUUGAUGAUCGGCGAGACCACGAAGGGAAAAACCCCUGACCCCAGCUACCGGGCUGGGUGAUCGUCAGGGCUGAAAGUGAUUGGCACGUGCGACCACUUCAGCGGCUGCUGCGGCUCCAUGUCCGGCAACAGCGUACACACUUCCCAGGUGAGGCGCUUCACGGCGCUAUGGGAUGAGAGAGCAUAAGCACCCCCAUGAAUGCACGCGAUGUCGCGAGGCUCCUGGAAGAAAGGCUCGUCGCCUUCACUGUAGUCGGACCCGCGCUGCUCCUCAGCGCAAGCCUUGUCUCGUCCCCGAGGAGGCCGCUCCCUGCCGGCGCGGGCUUGGGCUCGACCCCCCUAGGCUUACUCUUUGCCGGCAUCCCCGCCGGCAGGCUUCGCUCCAGCUCUGGGGUCAUUCGGGCAGUCGCGGGAGAGAUGCCCGAUGUCCCCGCAAUUGAAGCAGGCGUCGGCUGCUCGGUGCUCCUCGUGGCACUGCUCGCGCCUCUGCUUGAUUCCCUGCAGAAUGCGGCAAUCCUGCACGUCAUGGGUGGCGUUGCCCUGGAUGGGGCAGCAUGGCGCGUCGCCCGGCUUGCCACCAUACCCGCCAGCGGGUGAGGCCUUCCUCGCAGGCCUCGAGGCGGCCCCUGGUUCCACGGCAAGCACUUGCUUCCCGCUGCGCUUCCGGGAGCCCUUCUUCGGCGAGCCCUCAGCGGGACUCGCGGCUGCCUUGUCUGCAAGUUCGGGCGCCAAGCGCCCUUCCUCGGCCAUGGAGCACUUGUGCGCCAAGCCGUAGAGCUCUUGCGUCGUCUGGAUCCGGUGCGUGCUCAGCUUCUCAUGCAUCUUGGGGUCACAGAUGUUGAUGGCGAAGGUGUUGAUGAUGGUGGUAGCCUCCGCCUCAGGAAUAGAGUAGGAGAGACUAGAGAAGUGGUUGACAAAGCUCCGCAAUGUCUCUCCUGGCCUCUGCACAACGGUGUGCAGCUCCGCCAUGGUUCCCGGGUGCUUGUAGCCACCCUGGAACGGUCUCACAAACUGCUUGCGCAGGUCAGCCCAGGAGGCUAUGGACCCGGCGGGCAGUUUGAGCAACCAGGUCCUCACCGAUCCUUUAAGGACCAUCGGGAAUCAGUUGACCCUGACCUUGUCAUCGGCGUCGAUGGCAUGCAUCCCCAACGUGUAGGUCAGGAGGAAAUCCUUGGGGUUCACGGUCCCGUCGUACGUUCCCGGCACCGGUGCUCGGAACUUGCGGGGCCAUGUCACCCGGCGCAGCUCGCGGGUGAACGCGGUGCAGCCGUCCUCGGUGCCCAUGGGAGCAUCCUCCUACUCCUCUGGGCGUUGAUGUUCCGCCUAACGCUGGCGCCGGCGCUCCAAGCGCAGGCGGAGGUCUUCUUGCUGGCGGGCGUUCAAGACAGCCCACGCAUCACCCCGUGUGACGGUCGGUGAUGAAUCCGAGGACCCCUCAGGAUCCUCGCCUCCUUGCUAUCCCUGUGGGGGAGGGUUUUCUCCCAGUCCCGAGACGCGGGGCGCGUCUCUGCGUCCCAGGUUCUGCCCUCGGCCUGAACUGGCCGGGGCGCCCUCGCCUUGCGGCUGCUGGGCGGCGAGCGCAAGGAGGGCGUCUAACUCUGCACUCCAUGCCUCGUGCGCCAGCGUGCCUUGCGGUGGCUCGUAGCGCACCAUGACACGCGCGGCGAUGAUGGCCUCUGCCGGGGUUUGAGUGGGAGACUGCCGAUUCUCCGACCGGCUGCUCUCCGCCUUGUCCCCCGGUGCCCCUGGGUGAGUAGGGCGAGAUCCCGACGGCAUCGCACGCGAUGCGGUAUGCUUGUGGCGCCGCUGCCGCUGCGCGUCUUCAGCCCGCGAGUGGACUCGCUGGCCGGCGCGGGCGGCGUCGUGGCCGCUGGCGCGACUAGCUCCGGCGCUGGGAGCCGCUGGCCCCCUCAGCCGGUUGUCCGCCGACGAGGCCAAUGUCAAGCGUAUAGAUGCACAAGACCGUUUUACCCAGGUUCGGGCCACCCUGAGGUGUAAAACCCUACAUCCUGCUUCUGAGCUUGUAUUAGCCAAUGAACGAGGGUUUACAAGUUGCCGGGGGAGUCCCCGGACGCUCUCUCCUUUCCUGCUAAGUGCUACUUGUUACUUCUAGGCUAAAACUAGUAAGAACCGAACCCUUUGACCGUUGGCAAUGGUCCUACUUUUAUACUCAAGGAGAUGCCACAGGUGCCUCGGUGCAUGGGUGACAAGUGUUGAGCAAAGACCCUAGGCAGCUUGCUCUUGCUGCGCUGGCUUGCAUGCACGGUACGUAGCGCUGCAACUAGGGCGGUACGUGCGCUAGAUUCACUGCGGGCCAGUCACUGUGCGCUGACUGUACGGGGAAUCACCUUUCUGUCGGAACAUUAAAUGCUUAUUUGUGCCACACUCCUCGCCCUGACCAACCCUGCGCACAGGGAGCCUGCCGGGCGGCCACAUGGCGUCAAUGCUCUGCCUGCUGGGUACCGUCCCUGUUGUAAGUGCCUGCGCCCAGGAACGCCCUCCCCGGCAAGUGACCUUCCCGGGGGGCGCCCAGGCGGGAAUUCUCUCGUCGCCUUCCAGGGUAAACCCCGCAGCCCGGCUAGCCCUGCCGGGCUGGUGACUUGCCGGGCAGCUCGUGCGAUGCUGCCCAGGAUGCUAUCCUUGCGGGGAGCAGGUGAGGCGACCCACGCGUCAAGCAACGGUGAUACCCUGGGUGCCACUGGUGCGACACUUUGGUGGCCGAGCAACAAAAUAAAAGUGAGUACACUUCUACCGACACAAAAACUAUGUCGAGUUACCUAUGUACUUUGAAAACUGACAUGUGCCGACAUAAACAGCUGGGGACGACGCACAAGUGUCGGAGCUACUGAAGCGCGUUGCGGAGGUGCAAGGUAUGACUUAUUCGAUAUCUCGGACUGCAUCCAUUUUUGUCUUGAACUAUUGUAACCCAUGUCUUCCAAACAGGGGAUAAGACUCAGUUGGUGGAGCAGCAUCGAGAUGAGGUGGCCCGGCUAAGGGCGCAACUUGAAGCGCAAGGCGAGGCACAUAUGGUCGAGGUAGUCCAACUUACCUCGGUGCUUUCUGCGCAAGCCCACGAGAAGAUCCGCCUGGAAGGCGAAGUCCAAAAAUACAAGGAUCUUCUCGCCGAAGCCGAGACUCGGGCCACCGUUGCUGACCAGGAGAAGGCCAAGAGCACACAUAUGCUAGGCGUGUCUACCCGGGAUCUCGGCAAGAUAGACGGAUUGCUAGGCAGUAAGUUGCCAUAACCCGAAUCUUUCCCUUUCAUCAUUUGACCGACAAUAGCAAUGUGCCGGGAUUUAUCAUUUCUUCUUUGUCUUCGGCAGAAAUCUUCCCACAUUCUACCGAAGCUGCUCAGGCCGCCGUGAUUAAAGCUCGCGGAAAGAGGGAUUCCUCCAAGGCACAGCCAUCAGAUUAUGAUGGGGAUGAUUAUCUCAUCAACAUCUGGACCCGUGUCAAGCCUUUGAACGUUUUUGGGAUUGACAUGCUCAACGCCGGCAUCCGCGUUUCCGAGCUCUUUGGCCGGGAGAGGAAGCACCGAGUGCCAUCCCGGACUUGGCCAAGCGACUCCUGGAGGUGGAGGACCGGCUUAGCGAGUGGCGGGAGUCGGCCGCUCAUGUCGGCACCGACAAGGCAUUGUCGUUCGUACUUUCUUGGUACGACGACAUUAACCUCGACGUGUUGCAGUCCAUGCGCGUCGGCUCUCCCUUCCUCUCGGAUCCGGAAUUGAUUGGCAGGCGUCAAGAACGGGCCUACUCCUUCAUCCCAUAUGCCGAUGUGCAUUCCUUUGUGGAGGGUCCGAGAUCGGACGCAGACGAAGAGGCAGCCGAGGAAGAAGAAGAGGGCAUAGAUGAAGAAAUUGUCUCCAAGUCACCUCCCGCCGAGACAGAUGCUCCGAGCGCCGACGAUCCUGCCAUCUGAAUUCGUGCCCAUUGAUGUCAGAAAAAAAUCUUUAAAAUUGUUAGAUCCCCGGGAUGCCGGGUGCAGAUGUAAAUACUUUGAAGUACUUUUAUGUGUGAUGCGCAAUGGUUUGAAUUGGCUUAUGCCACAAGUUAUCGAGUUCUCAGCCGAGUCCCCGAGUUUAUUUUUCUGUUGGUUAAAUUAUAUGACCUCGGCUCUUUGUUUGGCUUGUCGGCGUUCGACGCAUGAAUCACGAAGUGAUAGAAUAGAACUUUCAAAAAAUCUUAAACUCAGAAAACUCGCCUGGAAAUGCCCGGUAUAGAAAAAAGGAAUGCUGGGUUAGAGAAAAUAAUGCACAUCUCGGCUCGCUCGUUUGUUUGUUUCCGCAAUCGCUUUUCAUGUGUUCAAUAACUUCGUACCCAUGCUCUAGCUUGCCAUGAAGCCGCAUUGCGGACAACAGCUAAGUCAUAGAGGGAGUUUUCAGUACCAACACACUACUAGACCGACAUAAGAUUACACAAUCAAGUCAUGCCGACAUACAAAUAGAUAAAUGUAACACAACAUUCAUAUAACAUGGGAGCCCCCGAGGUUUCAUUUAAGAACCCGGCGGAUAAUUCAUUGUUUCAAAAUACCCGACAUAAGGAAAGAACGAUACAAAUACUCAUCUCUCAAGUAUAGAAUGGACCAAGAAAAGCUACAUUCCAUGGUCUCUUAGUUUGCUCGCCAAAUCUGUCCAUCCUGUUUGCGUUGGGGUCCUGCGCAUCUAUAAGAUAGUAUGAAUCAUUGUGCGGCGCUUGGCUCACAAUGAAGGGUCCUUCCCAUGGAGGCGAUAAUUUAUGCAUGCCGGCCGUGCGCUGCACGAGCCGGAGCACAAGACCUCCUUCCUGGAACACCCACGGAUUUACCUUCCGGCUGUGAUAACACCUAAGGUGUUGUUGAUAGAUGGCUGACCGGGAUAAAGCCAAUUCCCGUGCUUCUUCGAGCAGGUCGACAUCAUUUUCUCGGGCUUCCUUUACCUCGACUUCCGUAUACAUGGUCACUCGGAGAGAGUCAUGUUGGAUGUUGGCUGGUAAGACAGCUUCCGCCCCGUAUAAGAGGAAAAAUGGCGUAUAGUCUAUGGAACGAUUUGGGGCUGUCCUGAGACUCCACAAUACGGUCGGGAGCUCAUCUAGCCAACAUUGUGGAGUGCGAUCCACUGGCUCAAUUAGCCAAGGUUUUAUGCCGGUUAAGACCAAGCCGUUUGCCCUCUCAACUUGCCCGUUGGACUGAGGAUGUGCUACUGAGGCAACAUCAAGCCGGAUUUUCUUUUCCGCGCAGAACCGCGCAAAAGGCCCCUCUGCAAAGUUUGUUCCAUUAUCUGUGAUGAUGCUAUGCGGAUAGCCGUAUCUUAACAUGAUAUCCUUCAAAAACGACACCGCGGUCUUGCCGUCACAGUUCCGUAUUGGCUUCACUUCAAUCCAUUUGGUGAACAUGUCAACCAUGACCAAGAUAUGCGUCAUGCCUCCUCUUGCCCGCUUGAAGGGCCCCACCAUGUCCAAACACCAAACAGCAAAUGGCCAAGUGAUUGGGACGGUCUUGAGUUUGGAUGUCGGCAUAUGAAUCUUGCUAGCAUAUGUUUGGCAACCGUUGCAUUUCCUGACCAUAUCCUCCGCCUCCUGUAACGCACUCGGCCAGUAAAACCCAUGCCGAAAUGCCUUGGCCACUAACGUUCUUGAAGAUGCAUGAUGACCACACUCCCCUUGGUGAAUAUCCCAGAGGAUUUCUUGUCCUUCUUCUGGCUCAACGCAACGCUGCAACAUAUUAGUGAAACUUCUCUUGUAUAGCUCGCCAUUGAUAAUAGUGUACGCUUUUGCUCUUCUCUGAACUUGCCUUGCUGACACUUCCUCUUCCCGCAGAUUUCCAUCUCUGAGGUAGUACAUUAUUGUCUGUGCCCAAGCUGGCACAAGACGAGUUACGAAAACUGGCUCAUCUAUUUCCAUUGGUUCAAUCGCCGUUGCCUCAGCUGAGUUAGGACGCUCAGUCCCCGGGUUACCGGAACCAUUGUCAAUGUCCAUUGGAGUGACGUCAGCUUCCGAGUUUGCCGGAAUAAAUAUCGAUUCUGAUUCUGGUGACGGCUUGCGCAGAUGUUCCAACGCAAUGCCGGCUGGGAUGGCCUGCCGCGUUGAUCCUAGCUUCGACAAAGUGUCGGCCGCUUCAUUCUCCGCCCGUGGUAUAUGAUGGAAUUCACACCCUUCAAAGUGGCCACUAAUCUUCUGCACAUGAAAGCGAUAUAGUGCCAUGUUGUCAUCCAACGCAUCCCAAUUACCAGAGGCUUGCUGGACCACCAAGUCCGAAUCACCGAAGCAUUGAAUCCAGCGAAUACCGAUCUCCUUUGCCAUCUUCAGUCCGUGAACGAGCGCCAAGUACUCGGCGACAUUGUUGGACGCUUCGAAAUGAAUUUGCAACACAUACUUCAAUUGGUCACGCUUGUGCGAGAUGAGAACUAUGCCGGCGCCAAGCCCACUAUUUUCUUUUUGGAGCCAUCAAAAUGCAUUUUCCAAUAACUGGUUUCAGGUGGUGGUGGUUCAUAUUCCAUCUCAGCCCAAUCCACCAGGAAAUCCGCCAGUGCCUGAGACUUCACAGCGUCUCGUCUAUCGUACUGUAGCGUGUUGGGUGCUAACUCAAUAGCCCAUUUAGCUAUUCGACCACUUGCAUCCUUAUUGCUCAUGAUCUCCGAGAUAGGCGCUUCACAUAUCAUCUGGAUCUGAUGCGCACCAAAAUAAUUCUUCAGCUUCUUUGUCGUCAUAUAAACACCGUACGCCAUCUUCUGGUAAUGAGGAUAAUUCUGUUUUGAUGAUGAUAACACCUUACUCAAGUAAUAUACCGGCCUCUGUACCGACUUGCCGGCUUCAUCUCUCUCCACCACUAUGACGGCACUCACAACCCGGUUCGUUGCUGCUAUAUAUAACAACAUCGGCUCUUGCGCCAUUGGCGAGGCUAAUAUCGGCGUUGUAGCGAUCAUUUUCUUCAGCUCUUGGAAGGCUACCUCUGCUUCUUGUGUCCAGACAAACUUGUCGGUUUUCUUUAUUAGCUGGUAUAAGGGCAUUGCCUUUUCACCCAGCCGACUAACAAAACGACUUAAUGAUGCUAAGCAUCAAGUGAAUUUUUGCACAUCUUUGAGACAUUUCGGAAGCUUCAUUCUUUCUAUGGCGGCAAUUUUCACAUGAUUUGUUUCUAUACCUCGGCUCAACACCAGGAAUCCGAGUAGCUUUCCUGUCGGCACACCGAAAGUGCACUUGGCCGGGUUUAGCUUCAUUCGGAAUCUCCUCAAGUUCGCAAAUGUUUCCCGGAUAUCAUCCAGCAGUGUGAUGCUUUCUUUGGUUUUUAUGACGACAUCGUCGACAUAUACCUGCACGUUUUUGCCGACUUGGUCGUGCAAACAUUUCUGCAUGCACCUUUGGUAAGUAGCCCCUACAUUUCUCAAACCAAACGGCAUAGUGCGAUAGCAAUAAGCCCCAAACGGGAUGAUAAAUGAUGUCUUUAUUUGAUCAUUAGGGUUUAACGGUAUCUGGUGAAAACCAGAAUAUGCAUCUAAAAAAGACAACGACUCACACCCAGCAGUAGAGUCGAUCACUUGAUCGAUCUGAGGUAACGGAAAAAGAUCUUUAAGGCACGCCUUGUUCAGGCUAGUGUAGUCGAUACACAUGCGCCACACCUUGGCAGCAGUUGGGUCAUCUUUCUUUUUCUCGACCAUGACCGGUUGGCCAACCAGUCAGGAUGCAACACUUCCAUGAUAAAGACGGCAGCUAGAAGCCGGGAUAUCUCUUCCGAUAUGAUCUUCCUUCUGUCAUCGGUGAAGCGUCGAAGGGGCUGCUUCACCGGUCUUGCGUCUGGCCUGACAUGCAAUGAGUACUCAGCCAACUCCCUCGGCACACCUGGCAAGUCUUGGUUUGACCAUGCGAAGAUGUCCCGAUUCUCACGGAGGAAGUUGGUAAGCUCGCCUUUCUAUUUCUCAUUCAGGCCGGCACCAAUGAUGAUAGUGCGGUCCGGGAAUUCACUGUCUGUGCCGCCUGAAAGCCACGCUUCCGUGAGGGUUGGUCAUAGACGGCAGACCAAUCUGUACCGACUGAGCUAACGUGACAACUUCUUGCAGCUUCCUCUUCUCCCCGGCGAUGACCAAUGACUCGGCCAAAGCAGAUCAUGCUGCCGCGCACUCCAUCGAAAGCUUGUAGUUGCCGGUAAUGGUGAUUGUACCAUUUGGUCCCGGCAUCUUCAUCUUCAGAUAGCCAAUGUGAGUAGUCGUCAUGAAUUUGGCCAAUGCCUGUUUGCCGAGCAGCGCGUGAUACGGACUGUUGAGAUCCACCAGAGCAUAACCGAAUUCUCUGUCCGACAUUUCUCCCUAGUGCCGAAUAAGACAUCAACCCAGAUCUUGCCAACCGGAGCACAAGACACUCCCGGCAGAAUACCAGGGAAGGUAGUCUAGCUAGGCUCAAGCAUGUUAUCAGUAAUGCAGAGUUUGAGCAUCGUGUCUCGGUACGUGAUGUUUAUGCUGCUCCCAUUAUCGAUGAGAACUCGAGUGAACUUGACGUUGAUGUCAGGCCCAAUGAGUGUCGGGUCGAUCACCAGAGCAUAACCACCUGGAUUCAGCAUGACUUUAGGAUGAUCAACCCGGUUCCAACAGAGCUCCUGCUCCAACCGGUACAUGAAUUUCGGCACUGCCGGCAUGACAGCAUUGACCUCCAUCUCACGCCGGCGCUGGCUCUGCUUGUCGGUUGGCUCCGUGAUAAAAAUCUUGUAGCUUUGGUGAUGCUCCUUGUACUCGUUUCUUCCUGCAUAUUCCGGAAUGCCUUGGUCUUCCACCUGAUUGACUGCAUUGUUCACCGGAGGAGGUCCUUGAAUCUGAGAAUUGGCACCUGUGAAUGGCGGAGGAGGGGGCAGCCUACUUGCCUCACCCUUCUCGGCCCGCUGCAUCCAGCUGCAAUGUCGGGUUGUGUGAUGUGCUGGCUUGCUGGGAUUGGUCGUGUGGAAAGGACAAGGCUGAUCCAGCAUCAUCUCGAACGUGUACUUCUGUUUAUUUUGCCACGGCUUCUUCUGCUCUCCUUUCUUGGCCCACUACUGAUUUCAGUCUUCUGACGCUGGCUAGGGCCGGCAUCAGGUUGAUCUUGAAUGGCUGCCACAUGGGCUGGCCCAUACCGGUAAUCCGGCCUGUCGUCCCUUCUUUUAUUCCGAUGAUCUUGAUGAUCAUUUCUCCGGAAUGCUCUGGCAGGAUUGUAUGUCGGCUGCUAUCUUUGUUGCUCCGCCGGCAUCAGCAAUGGCUGAGUUGGGUCACCCAAUGCGUACAUGUCCGCAAUCUUGAUCAUCUCGGACAAAGUGGCCGACAUUUCCCUCUGCAGCUUCUGCCACAACAUGCUGCCAUGUCGGCACCAUUGGGCAAACCAUGCUAUGGCCUGCGAAUCCACUAUUCCUUCACAGGAGUUGCGGAGGUUAUUCCACCUUGUAACGUAAUCUCGGUCAGUCUCGUUGUCCCUUUGCUUGCACAUGGACAGUUGCUAAGGGCGGUUAGGUCUCUUGUAGGUGCUGAUGAAGUUGUUGACAAAAGCUUCCUCAAAAUCUAUCCAGCAAUUGAUGCUGCCCUCUGGCAGAUUAUUCAACCAGAUCCUGGCCGGCCCUACUAGCAUUUGGGGUACAUAACGUACUGCCCAUCUGCGAUUGCCGCCUACCACAUGCACUGCAGUGACAUAAUCUUCCAACCAGUCUUCCGGCUUUGUGCUGCCGUCAUAUGUUCUCGUGCCCUGGGUAGCUGAAAACCCUGUGUUGGUGUCUCUAUCAUGAUCUGGUGAGCGAAACAACAGGGUCCCGGAGGGCCUUGCUCUUCCAGAAGCUCCGACAGAUAGAUUCUGUCAAGCCGAUAUCAGGCAUCUAGCGGCGACACCUGCCGGUUUCCCACUCGAGCUCCAAGUGGGCCGACUUUGUCACGCUCUCGCCUGAGAUAGCCUUCAUCUCCCAUGGCCGAGUAUCCGUCAUUGUAACGGUCUUGCCGGCGAUCUUCACCUCGAAACAAGGGGUUGCGCCCAGCACCCUGCUGACCUGCAGCAGUAUUGGGCGCUGGACCCCGAGGUUGGCGUCCAUGACCUGCCGAGUGACGCUCUUGUGGAUCUCGACGAUUGUUAUCGAGAUGCAGACUGAUUUGACCAUCAUCAACUCUCCUAACCAUUUGCUUCUCAGCCAAUGCAGGUUCAUAAUGCUCUAGCCGCUUGUCUCGGCCAGAGUUGACACUCUUAUCCGGUCUGCCACCAGGCGAAGAAGCUUGCUUGUCUGCCCUGCCGCCAGCGCCUGUAGCCGAGUGAAUGAUCUGAGAUGCAUCGGGCUUGCCGUGCAACCUCAUGUACGCCUCGUUUUGUUCGUUAGCCGUGCUAAGCAAUUCCUUCACACGCAAGUGCUGCAAUCAGAGUGCCUCUCCCGUGAGAUUCGACAACUCUUCUGCUGCAGCCUCGGCUGCCCUGAGGUUCUUAACAGGGGUGCUAUAUUUCGGCUUUAGUGCCGACACAUAGCUUGCCGACACAGCAGGCAUGGCUCUGCCAUCCCUAGCUAUCUCGGCAUUCAAGUUUCUACCACGAUUAUGCACUUCCCCAACUCGGCUAGGGUUAUGCACUGCAGCAGAAUUGAGACCAUGAGCUUUGUUAUACUCACGAAGUGAAAUCUCGAGCUCCUGCCGAGCAUGAGCCACGUCAACAGCUUCCUGUAGCUGGGCCAAGUUGGCGUUUGGUGCCACAGUCAACGUCAGCCUCUCGAUGGCGGCCUGGAGCGGAGUCGGUUUUGCCGGCGUAGCGGAUGUGCCGGCCUGAGCAGCGAUGUUCUCUGGCUUCUCCAUUGGGGGACGCGCCAUUCUGCCGGACUUGCUCGGGAGUCCGGCGCUUUCUGCCACGCCCUUGCCAACAUCGCCGCCUUCAGCCGUCAUCAUGACCUCCACACGGCCAACGGGGCAGUUGACAUGCCGACUGCGAACCGUGCAGAUGGCUGGAGGAUCCUUGGCAACCACCACCUACUCGAGAUACCUGCAAGGAGUGUCGGUGGCGACGUAGACCUCAUGCAUACCGAAGUUGACGAAGCGGACAGCGCAGGGAAGUGGCGCGUUGUUGAAGCAGCCUGCGUUGUUGUCGAUGAAGCCUAGAGAGCCGAAUGUCUGGACCAAAUAGGAGACGACGCGGUUUCCGGUGACGAGGAAGCUUCCCGUCCGGAUGAAAACUCAGUGCCGCUGCUGGCCCCACGGUGGGUGACAACUGUCGUGGUGGUGUCACGGUAGAUGCCAUAUGAUGGCUUCAUAUGGGGCCAAUGGACGAAGAAGGAUCCGGAGGAGGGAUGGCGCGAUGUAAACCACGCACAAAAGUAAGAACACACGGUGUUUACCCAGGUUCGGAGCCCUCUUGAUGAGGUAAAGCUCCUAUUCCUGCCGUUUUUGUAUUAGCCGAGAUAUGUGAGACUAAAAUGGUGCUCCUUGAGUUGUAUCCAGAGGAGAAAGAAGGAGAAGGAGAACUCCUAAAUGUCUAAGUGAGGAACCCCUCUCACAGGAGGGGUGGAGCUUCUAUUUAUAGGCCAAAGAUGUCACACUGACAUGUGGACCAAAAGCAAACCCUAGCUACCACCGCGUCCGCCGGGUACACCCAUGGUCCCCUCCGGAUUGUCCGGGAGGGGACAAUACUGCUUUGUGCUUUACGAACAGCCAGACGGCACGCACUGUAGCCAUGCUCCGGCCUUCGUCACCUGUCCUUCUACGGCGCGUCACUGUGCAGUCGCCCGGCACAGCGACGUGAGCAACGACUGCUUUUCCGUCAUAAAGGGAGCGCUGCUUUACUUUGCGCCAUGUGAUCAGGAUAGGACCGUUGGCCUUUCCCGGCCCUAGCCGAGACCAAAGAGUUCAUGCUUAUCCUGUAAUCACAUAAGACAAGAUAGAUAUGCCGGCACACUUUUGGUAUGCCGGCCGGUUACAAAGUCGGCCUGACAAUGCCGGCGUAUUUGCUUACGUCGGCUUUGUUCUCGCUAUUCCGGUUAAUACAUGUCGUCAUGACCCUACCCGGGAUCAUCCCCUGACAAAACGUAAAAUUUCAAAAAAUAAAUAUUAAAAUCUCAUAAAACUAAAAGUCAAAAGGCAGAAAAUAAAAUGUUGCCAAAAAGAAAAAAAUCAAACAACCCCGAAAAAGGCCGUCGGAAUUCAUCCGCCCAGUUCCAUCC
rnacentral:lncRNA from 1 species